CAGUAGCCACGGUAAUACAGAGGGUGCGAGCGUUAAUCGGAUUUACUGGGCGUAAAGCGUGCGUAGGCGGCUUCUUAAGUCGGAUGUGAAAUCCCUGUGCUUAACUUAGGAAUUGCAUUCGAUACUGGGAAGCUAGAGUAUGGGAGAGGAUGGUAGAAUUCCAGGUGUAGCGGUGAAAUGCGUAGAGAUCUGGAGGAAUACCGAUGGCGAAGGCAGCCAUCUGGCCUAAUACUGACGCUGAGGUACGAAAGCAUGGGGAGCAAACAGGAUUAGAUACCCGGGUAGUCCCUGUCUCUUAUAC
rnacentral:rRNA from 1 species